GCGGGUAUGGCGAAACAGCAGACGCGCCAGCCUUAGGAGCUGGUGAGAGCAAUCUCGUGGGGGUGCAAAUCCUCCUACCCGCACCA
rnacentral:tRNA from 1 species